GGUUAUUUAGUUUAAAAUAAAACAAAUGUUUUGAAAACAUUAAAUAAGAAUAUUCUUAAUAAUCU
rnacentral:tRNA from 1 species